CCCGGAACCGCCUCUGGGGAAACACAGCUGCUCAAUGAGGGCGUGGCCGAGCUCAGAACCUUUCUGUCUUGGACUAGAUUCUGUUUCAUUUAUUUCCUUCAGUGCUAAGCACAUCGUGUCACAGGAAUGCUUGUCAGCAUUAGAAAAACUUACGUCUGAAUGUUUACCCCUUUGGAUCAUUUCUUUUUUAAAAGAAGAGCGAGCGUGCAAAGAGCACGAUUAAACGGAGCAACACAGGCCUAGACACCUUUCUAGGAGCCUCAUGUGCCAUGCGCUUUGCCGGAAUAAAAUCCAUUCAGCGAGCCUCCCCUCCUCCUCCUGUUGUUUACUUGGCUUCAAUACCACGUGACCCUCGGGCCCGGGAAACGCUGACCCUGAAGGGCCCCAUCCUCCCGCGUGGGCUGCCUCUCCUGUCCCGGGCCUCGCACCGAGACCCCACACCGCUGGUGUCACGGACAGCAGCCGAAGGCAAGUGUCGCUUUGCCUUGUUGCCAUUGUCAUGAUUAUUUACACUCACGCAGACCCCCAGCGGGACCACACGCACGCUCACAGGGUGCAGCGGGGCCCGCAGCCCGGCCGUGCAGCAGGCGGCUGAGUGGCUGUGGACGCGGCGCUGAUCUGGGGGAGGCGCCGAUGAAUAUGCGAUGAAUAUGCAUCGCCCUGCCCUCAUCUCCGGACAGAGAUGAUCGAUACCGGGCCGGGGCUGCGUCCACCAGCGCACAGGAAGCUCCGGGGAGAGGCCGGGCCUCGCUCCCGCUCAUGGUCACGGCCACGGACAAGGACGCGCCGGAGGCUUCCCCGCGGCCGUCCGGAGGGCCCUCAUUAUCCACGCGGAUCACGAUGAUGAAUGCCAGCUUGUCCUCGCCGCUGAGAACAGCCUGAGUGAAAGCCGUCCUGGCCUCCUGCUCUGACUGCAAGGGCUGGUUCCUUCUCUGUGUUCGCCUCGUUAAUCCCCUAAAUGGACCGAUGGCUGCAUUUCACGCUCAGGUUCGGGCGUCUGUGGUUGAUCGCAGGCAUGACUCUGCACUGAACCGAAGCCCCCAGCUCGGCUAGAACACGUGUCCUGCCGUCAGCAUGUCCCACAGACGUGGCCACGGGGCCGGCUGGGGACGCGGAAAGCCACCCGCGCACCCACGAGCACCCCGGCUGCCUCGGAGGGGAGCGCCAGCUGGAAAUGGAUCUGUUCCUUCUGCAGGACCUCGCCGCACGCGUGCCUGUCCGGGAGUCCCAGAACCGCUCCAGCUGUGAGUUUGCAAGGCCUCAACCCAGGACCUGUGAUUGUGAGCUCAGGACUUUAAGACCACGAAGCACUGCUCGGUUUGCCGAAUGCCCAGUGGUCAGUUCCCAGCUGGGGAGACGGUGGGGAUGAUUUUAUUACAGUAAAGGAAACGAACUCAGCCCCGCCCUAAGGUUCCGAAUGCGGUGGGAGUACCGGCUGCAGCUGGACGGGCCGGCGGAAGAAGCAGGAGAAGGCCGUCCCCCCUGCAGCACGUUCUCCACUGCUAGCCGCAGAGUUUGUUUUCCUCUCUGAUUCCGGAACCUUCCUUGGCGCCGAUGUCAGAGGAUUCCUUAGUGGGGUCGGGGCAGCCAGCAAUGAGCUCCUCGGGUCAGCGGCCGCCGCCCUCGCCCUGCAGCCCGCGUCUUGCCUGGCCCCAGGCAUGGAAAACACACUCAUUAACGAGGUGUCCACUACUUCACAUGACACCAAUAAUCAGGAAAAGCGGAGGAUUGGCUUCCUAACCAGGCCGGCCAGCCAGUGACGCUGAGCACUCACCGGCGAGCGCCUUUCCCGCGGACGCCGUGCACACCACUAGUUCCUGUGUGAGUGUGCGAAUGCGUGUAACACAAAUUACCCCUGGGAUUCCCAUGCUUUGGUGUGUGUUUUGUUCAUUUAUUUUGGCCUAAUUCAUUAGCCUAAGUUUCCCAUGCAUUUCAUAGCUGUAAAUCUUGCCCAUUUUGUUGGGAAUAAAUCUUUGCUAUUAUA